rnacentral:lncRNA from 1 species
CCUCAGCUUCCGGAGUAGCUGGGACUACGGGCGCCCGCCACCACGCCCGGCUAAUUUUUUUGUGUUUUUAGUAGAGACGGGGUUUCACCGUGUUGGCCUAGCUGUUCUCAAACUCCUGACCUCGUGAUCCCCCUGCCUCAGCCUCCCAGUGCUGGGAUUACAAGCGUGAGCCACCGCGCCCGGCCAACACUCUUGACAACAGUGCUGUGCUAAGAACUUGGGGGACUUCAAACAGUUCACUAGUUCCUGUGUCCAUGGGUGAAAAGAUUUUCUACAUCUUUCUUUGACUAGAAACAGAAGUCCUGAAACAAGAAUAUAACGUCAUGAAGCCAGAGGCUUUGUCCUGCCUAAUGCGUUAUUUCCAGACUGAAUAAAAGCACCUGAGUCCUGGCAUAUGGCAAGGGAGUAAAGCCAACCUUUUUACCACAUGGCAAAAAUAAUUGUAUUUUGCAACAGACUAAAAGCUUAAUGCUAUACAGACUUUGGGUUGGUGGAGUUACUUGAGGAUUUACUCCAGCAAAACAAAAAAAAGAAUGAAAGAAAGAGAAAGAUAAAAAUAUGAAAGAAGCAACAGACCUAUUCCAGAAAUGUAAUGAAAAAAGGCCACAAAGUUUGACCACUAUGUAUUAAAUUUACAAUCAGUCCAAAUUAGACUGGUAGUCAGAUUGAUAGGAGAAGUACAUUUUCAAAAAGAUGUAUUAUACCAAAUAAUAUGAGUACAAAACUCUGGAUGAUUUUAGUAAUAAUGUGAAGACACAUAUUUCUUUUGACAAUU